GUGGGGAAUUUUGGACAAUGGGCGCAAGCCUGAUCCAGCAAUGCCGCGUGCAGGAAGAAGGCCUUCGGGUUGUAAACUGCUUUUGUACGGAACGAAACGGUCCUGGUUAAUACCUGGGGCUAAUGACGGUACCGUAAGAAUAAGCACCGGCUAACUACGUGCCAGCAGCCGCGGUAAUACGUAGGGUGCGAGCGUUAAUCGGAAUUACUGGGCGUAAAGCGUGCGCAGGCGGUGCUGUAAGACAGGCGUGAAAUCCCCGGGCUCAACCUGGGAAUUGCGCUUGUGACUGCAGUGCUGGAGUACGGCAGAGGGGGAUGGAAUUCCGCGUGUAGCAGUGAAAUGCGUAGAUAUGCGGAGGAACACCGAUGGCGAAGGCAGUCCCCUGGGCCUGUACUGACGCUCAUGUACGAAAGCGUGGGGAGCAAACAGGAUUAGAUACCCCGGUAGUCC
rnacentral:rRNA from 1 species